UGGGGAAUCUUGCACAAUGGGGGAAACCCUGAUGCAGCGACGCCGCGUGAGCGAUGAAGCCCUUCGGGGUGUAAAGCUCUUUCGGCAGGAACGAUAAUGACGGUACCUGCAGAAGAAGCUGAGGCUAACUACGUGCCAGCAGCCGCGGUAAUACGUAAGCAGCAAGCGUUGUUCGGAGUUACUGGGCGUAAAGAGUGCGUAGGUGGUUCUCUAAGUUCGGUGUGAAAUCUCCCGGCUCAACUGGGAGGGUGCGUCGAAAACUGGAGAGCUUGAGUAUGGGAGAGGAGGGCGGAAUUCCUGGUGUAGCGGUGAAAUGCGUAGAUAUCAGGAGGAACACCUGUGGUGAAGACGGCUCUCUGGACCAUUACUGACACUGAGGCACGAAAGCGUGGGGAGCAAACA
rnacentral:rRNA from 1 species